UACGUAGGGGGGCAAGCGUUGUCCGGAAUUAUUGGGCGUAAAGAGCGUGUAGGCGGUCCGGUAAGUCAGCUGUGAAAGUCAAGGGCUCAACCCUUGAAAGCCGGUUGAUACUGUCGGGCUAGAGUCCGGAAGAGGCGAGUGGAAUUCCCGGUGUAGCGGUGAAAUGCGCAGAUAUCGGGAGGAACACCAAUGGCGAAGGCAGCUCGCUGGGACGGUACUGACGCUGAGACGCGAAAGCGGUGGGGAGCAAACAGG
rnacentral:rRNA from 1 species